UUUCGGGCAACACCAGAAACGACCAAGAGAGUGCUGAGAGAGACACAGAAGGAGGAAGUAGGCGUCUGUCGAGAAAACAGGAAACAGGUCUGUCAGAGAAAAAGCGGCAAAAUUCAAAGACAAGAUAACAUUGAGCAGGAGGGGAACACUGGAGUUGAGACUCACAGGCUGAGGUCAACAUUGUUUCCAGUGAGCCUCGUAAAUGCAGACUUCCAGGACUUGUAGUGCUGACUCCAGCUCCCAUAGAGUGAUUAAACCAGACUGACCCAUCCAGGACACUGUACUGUUUGUCGACAAGUCCCAUAAAAUUACCCUCAUCUGAUCCAGCUAUGACUGUGUUUGUUGGUAAAAAGCCACAAUAUGAAACUUGAUUCAGAUACCAGAAAAAAAUAACAGAUUGCAGUGGUUUUUAGAGGUUUCCAGAUGUGUUUAAGCUAACCAGUGGGAUCUGUUGUUACAAGCAAGAAUCCCAUCUCAGCACAGAUGUUCUGCAAGAGUAAGGCUGGAAACAACCAAAUCUUGACUACUACUUUUCAAGCCUUAAAGGUAUCUGGUCUUUUCUAGAGCUGCUAAAUAGGUGUGUGUAAUGAUGACCUGCUGCUGUAUACAUCCACAUUGUUUAACACAUUUUAGUUUGGUCAUCUAAGCAGACUUAAAUCAUCCUUUCAGGUUGUUUGCUGUUCCAAUCAGGAGCUAUUCAGUGUUAGUAUGCAACCCUGGUUGGAUUGAAGCAUUGUUUGACAGAAAAAUGUUAGACAUGAUUGCUUGCAACAAACACAAAGGCUUUAGUUUUGACAGGCGAAAGGAGUGAUUUGAGGGCAAUUGUUUGACAAGGCAUGAAAAGACAAAUGCUUAAAGCAGGCAGUGACAGUGUGCUAAGAAGAAUUUGAUGCAAUAUAAUUGUGUUGUUUUCACGUUAAAGAUGUAUUUUACCUUUGUACAAACCAAACGUCUAGCCUGUUUUACGUUUCGCAGGAAUAUGUAAUAGAUUUUGAAAGUUCAAAUAAAUUAUGUAUAAGUAAAUACUAAUUUCCCUCCUCAGUUAUAA